rnacentral:rRNA from 1 species
UACGUAGGGUGCGAGCGUUAAUCGGAAUUACUGGGCGUAAAGGGUGCGCAGGCGGUUACGUAAGUCAGAUGUGAAAUCCCCGGGCUUAACCUGGGAAUUGCGUUUGAAACUAUGUGACUAGAGUGCAGUAGAGGGAGGUGGAAUUCCAUGUGUAGCAGUGGAAUGCGUAGAUAUAUGGAGGGACAUCGAUGGCGAAGGCAGCCUCCUGGACUGACACUGAUGCUCAUGCACGAAAGCGUGGGGAGCAAACAGG